rnacentral:rRNA from 1 species
UACGUAGGUGACCAGCGUUGUCCGGAUUUACUGGGCGUAAAGAGCGCGCAGGCGGUCGUUCAAGUCGAGUGUGAAAGCCCCCGGCUCAACUGGGGAGGGUCAUUCGAUACUGAUCGACUCGAAGGCAGGAGAGGGUAGUGGAAUUCCCGGUGUAGUGGUGAAAUGCGUAGAUAUCGGGAGGAACACCAGUGGCGAAGGCGACUACCUGGCCUGUUCUUGACGCUGAGGCGCGAAAGCUAGGGGAGCAAACGGGG